UAUAUGCAUGCAAUAAAAGGUUGGGGCUGUCAGCUGCUUGAUGUGUUGCCGUUAGUUAUCUUGCGCGCAUAUUUUGCCUCGUGGCCGCGUCAAAUUGCAGCCGGCCCCUGAUCCUCCGUCAGGAUCGUUAGUACGUGUACAGAACCAUCCAGUAGUGUGGUUCAGUGAAUGAUGCGUGAAAAAACGAGGACGCAAGAAAAUCCUGGCAUGGUGAGCUGUUCCGCCAGAUCGUGUUGAAUCGCGUUUUUGCGCGAGAUGGUCGAACAGCUUUGCUACUGCUUUUCUACAGCUUUGCUGCAUUUCAUUUAAUCAUCACCUGCAUUCUUUUUAAUAAGACAAAUGGCAUUACUGCGCGAAAGAGCGUCUCGGAAGUUUCCCAACAACAGCCAAUGCCGCCGUGCCUGUUGCAUGCACGCUUACCAGCUACACGCUGUCCUGAUGCAGUUGGAACGAUUAUGACGCAGUAUCAGCCUGCUACUGCGGGCUGCAGGAUCACGAUGACAAUACAAUUAAAAUAACUAAAGAAAUUAAUGCAGUAAGUGUGGUGUUCAAACGUUGCCAAGCGUGAUAAGCGGACCUGCCUCGUAAGAUGCGUUGAAUGAAUCGGCUUUCUAAAGUCAGCUUCGCCGCAGUAGACGUGUUACGCGGUGAAGCUUACCCAAAAAUUAUUGCAGUGAAGCAUACCAAAAGUGAAAAGGGGCCGCUAUCACGGGACAUGUAUAUGUUCCUUAACUAUGUACGCGCGCACUCGCCUUCGCCCAUCACAUUACGCGCGCCCAGGAGCGUAAUAAGUGUAUUGGCAGGUGUACUCACAUAUAUGAAAACUGCCAAGAAAAGCUGGUUAAGGCAAGCUCUCUUGUCGAAACGUUUGCACCAGCCUGUUCGACCACUGUUAUAUCACCGCAGUUUGUGUAUUGCUGUGAAGCAUACCGAUAGUGGGUAGGGGUCACGCGAAUCGGGAGUGUAGGGUUUCAGCCAGCGACGAACCCUACCAGUCUCAACGUUCUAGUCUCAACAAAGCACAUUUUUGCGCCAGGAUGACGUUUCGACAACUUUUGUUGGCUGUUGGUGAUGACACAACUCUUUUACAGAUAACAUUCUCUAAGCCUUUUGAAAUGACAGGGAGCACUGACACCGGCCGAUAAUUUGACAUGUCAUUUCUGUCCCCUGAUUUAAACAGUGCAGUCAGCUUCGCCUGUUGCAUUUUUGUAGGGUAAACGCCAGUAGACAAGCAAACAUUGAAUACGUGGGUGAAAACAGGCACUUUGCUUUGUUGUGUACCUGUCAUACUGCUAUUAAAUUUUCCUUUCCUUUUAAAGUGCUUACGUACAUCACAUCGCAAGGAGUCACUGUGUAAUUAGUGGCCUUGUCAUGUUAAAAAACCAGGCUCUACUCAAGAGAGGUUGGGGUUAAGUACCUGUGAAAUUUUUUAGAGGGGUAGUUUUCUGAGAAGAAAUCAGAUGCCAGAAACAGACCUGUGGUAUCCUGGGUUUGAGUAUUUAACAGUGGAAAGGAUACAAAAUACAUUAUAUUUCUUGUCUGAAACCAACAAGUAAGUGAAAUAUGUAAUAUAUUAAAUAGCGUCCAUGGAGCAACUGCAAGCUGUGCACACCUAGACCCAAAACGCGCUUCUCUUGCUCCAGUCCAUGCAGGCUGUCAGCUGCUUUGUUGAAGCCUCUAGUACAUUCUCAGUGGUGCAGUAAUUUUUGUCUGCAUUUUGCUCAAGUGUGCCCUAGACAUAAUUGAGUGAUUUGCAGUUGCAACUGGACUGCAGCCUCAGCUUGGGAGACCAGUGGUAGGGCACAUUUUGUAAAACUAAGCUACACAUAGCAUUACCAGUUUGAGCAGAGACCUGUUUAUAUAUGUGUCGUCUUUAGCAUCUAGAUUUUUUACCAUGAAUUCAGAAAAAUCUCCAGCACAUCGAGUCCCUAGAUUUGAAAUGCUGUAUAAGUUGUCUUCUUGUUCAUUGCGGUUGCGCUUAACUUCUGUCCAAAUAGGAGAGCACUUCUGCAUAGCACAUCAAGGACCAUUCUUAUUAACAUGCCUUCCUUUUAUUUAUCUUACCUACAAUCAAGAGCACACGUAUAUAGCACAUGAAUGUGCUGUGCUUGAACUUGACUUACAUUGCCAUGUUUAGUAGCACAGUGCUCAUAGUUGGUGUUGGUUCAUUCAAGCUAAGCAUUACUACAACCUUUAACUGUAGGUAUUAUGGUGUGAGAGCAGAGAAAUGGAUAUGCAAAGACAGUUGGGCACGUUAAGACAUCUUUUUGUGUGUGAAAAGGUGAAAGAUACACAAAAUGGGAUAGAACACGUGCACUUUCAUCUUUUCUCACAACAACAACAACAAAAAAAAAAGUCGGAGGAAUAAGGUUCCUUCACUGUGCCAUAGAAACUAUAUGUUUGCUCUCAAAUGUAAUUCUGAUUCGUUGGAUUUGUUCUUGUGCUGUUUUUCUUGAGUGUGCUUUACUUUUUACACGUCAACGUUUCAAACUCGUUUUUAUUUUUGACAGACUGAACAUCCCACGUCUUGGUUUGACUUCCUGGUACAGGAUACUUGCAGUUGGCAUGGAGUGGUGAAGCAGCAUGGUGUACUUUUAUUAAAAGCACAGAUUUCACCAGUAUAGAAGCAGUUCAUCAAAAAAAAACAUGUGUGCUGAAAAUAAAGUGUUCCUACCCACA